UCGCAGCUUACGCUGGCAGUUUCGGCAGAGUUCCCGGCUUGACCCGCUGGCAACUACCGAUAGGGGUUGCGCUCGUUAUGGCACUUAAGCCGACACCUCACGGCACGAGCUGACGACAACCAUGCAGCACCUCGCCGACCGCCAUUGCUGGCUGUGAAGUUUCCCCCACAUUCGCUCGGCGUUCUAGCCCGGGUAAGGUUCCUCGCGUAUCAUCGAAUUAAACCACAUGUUCCUCCGCUUGUGCGGGCCCCCGUCAAUUCCUUUGAGUUUCAGCCUUGCGGCCGUACUCCCCAGGUGGAUAGCUUAUCGCUUUCGCUUGGCCGCUGGCGGUGUAUCGCCAACAGCGAGCUAUCAUCGUUUACGGCGUGGACUAC
rnacentral:misc_RNA from 1 species